rnacentral:rRNA from 1 species
UAUAGGGGUUUGAUCAUGGCUCAGAUUGAACGCUGGCGGCAUGCUUUACACAUGCAAGUCGAACGGGGUGGCGGGGCAACUCGUCAUUCAGUGGCGAACGGGUGAGUAAUGCAUCGGAACGUGUCCCGUAGUGGGGGAUAACGCCGCGAAAGCGGCGCUAAUACCGCAUACGCUCUGUGGAGGAAAGCAGGGGACCCGCAAGGGCCUUGUGCUAGGGGAGCGGCCGAUGUCCGAUUAGCUAGUUGGUGGGGUAACGGCCUACCAAGGCUGCGAUCGGUAGCUGGUCUGAGAGGAUGAUCAGCCACACUGGGACUGAGACACGGCCCAGACUCCUACGGGAGGCAGCAGUGGGGAAUUUUGGACAAUGGGGGCAACCCUGAUCCAGCCAUGCCGCGUGCGGGAAGAAGGCCUUCGGGUUGUAAACCGCUUUUAGCCGGGAAGAAAAGGCAGAGGCUAAUACCUUCUGUUUUUGACGGUACCGGCGGAAUAAGCACCGGCUAACUACGUGCCAGCAGCCGCGGUAAUACGUAGGGUGCGAGCGUUAAUCGGAAUUACUGGGCGUAAAGCGUGCGCAGGCGGUUCGUUGUGUCGGUGGUGAAAGCCCCGGGCUCAACCUGGGAAUGGCCAUGGAAACUGGCGAACUGGAGUGUGGCAGAGGGGGGUGGAAUUCCGCGUGUAGCAGUGAAAUGCGUACAGAUGCGGAGGAACACCGAUG